rnacentral:sRNA from 1 species
AUAUUAGUUUGCUUGAUGAGACCCAUCGAUGAAAGCCUGGUGGAUAUAGUUGUGGAACUUAGGUAUGGAAUCUAGAAUGUUGUGUAAGUUU